GACGAACCGUGCGAACGUUGUUCGGAAUCACUGGGCUUAAAGGGCGCGUAGGCGGGUUGGCAAGUCAGGGGUGAAAUCUUUCGGCUUAACCGGAAAACAGCCCCUGAUACUGCCAGUCUCGAGGGAGGUAGGGGCAUGUGGAACUUCCGGUGGAGCGGUGAAAUGCGUAGAUAUCGGAAGGAACGCCGGUGGCGAAAGCGACGUGCUGGACCUCUUCUGACGCUGAGGCGCGAAAGCUAGGGGAGCAAACGGG
rnacentral:rRNA from 1 species